ACUUUCCUCUUUAUCUGGGUCACUGAAGAUUGUCUGCUGCCUUGUAUCACACCCAUACUGCUCCAUGCCCUUUGGGAAUGCUGAGGAAAGGAGCUAUAUUGCCAUUACACUGGGUAAAGAAUAUGUCUGCAGUCUGAAAAUCUGGUUCUGUCUGACUGUGUUUACUUGCUGGACUACUUGGGUUGCCUCCCCACUUUCUGUGCAGAGGAGAGAAAGG